CCUGUCCCCAUCUCAACGACGGGCAACCGGCGUACACUGUGAGGCAUCACCUGAGGGUUCAACCUCGGGGCAGGGGGAUCCAGUACCUGUUUGACUGGGAGGGUUACGACGGGCAACUGGCGUACACUUUUUCCCGGUGUUGACCAUUCUGCCUGCCCUGACCCUGAGCCAGCCUGCCGUCCUGUACCUUUUCCCCACCUAUCUGGAUUACUGACCUCUGCCUGCCCUCGACCUGCCUUUUGCCUGCCCCUGUUCGAUUAAUAAACUGUUGUUACUUCGACGUUGUCCUAAAACGUGAUAGCGGGGGAACUGUGUAUAAUGUUGAGUCAUUAUACACAGCGGAGAGUGGCUUCUUGCCUAGUUAAAUAAAAAAAAUGAAAAAUAAAAGAAGCAGGGGUUGGAACCAUUACAGAGAACAGAACCGAAAAUCUAAAAAUAACUAACGAAAGAGAUCUCUAGUGUUCUGGAACAAAACCGUUAUUUUAAAAUCUAGAGAACCGGUUCAUCGUGUUAUUUUUAGUUCGAAAAAUAUUCCUAAUGUCUAGUAUAUAAUUCUGUAAUGCGGUGAAGUUAUAAUGCUAGCAAUAGCCUAAACUCUUUCCAGUUCACGUCAUGUCAUGAUGUUCAGUGCUUCAAACAAAGCCCCUUCCAUGUCCACCGGUGUCACGACUCCCACCGAAGGUGGCUCCUCUUCGUAUUCGGGCGGCGCUCGGUGCUCGUCGUCACCGGUGUACUAGCUGCCACCGAUCCCCUUUUCCUUUUCUGUUAGUUUUGUCUUAUUGAUUACACCUGUUUCUUGUUUGGGUUUUGUUAAGGGCUAUUUAAGCCGGUUAUGCCCGCCUGCUUUUUUGCGGGCUUGUUCCUAUGUUAGUUUGUGGAUGUGCAUUUGUAUUUUAUUUUCUCCGGACUGUUUGGGUCCUGUUUUUGGACCGGUUAGUUUUAUGUGCCUAGUAUUUUUGGCGUGACCGCUUUGUACCGGAAUAAAUAUGAUUGUCCUAA